UGUCGCAGAGUUUUUUCAGGCGCAUGUGCAUUUCUUGUUUACCUUUUAUAUUGACAACGUUAUUGUCCGGUUUAAAUAUUAUAGAUCAUUUAGGCUAAAAAAACAACCUGAGGCUUGAAUAUAAACAUCGUUUGACAUGUUUCUAUGAACUUUACGGAUACAAUUAGGAUUUUUUGUCUGAUUGUUUUGACUGAGUUUGAGCCUGUGGGUUACUGAAGAAAACACGCUAACAAAACAGAGGUUUUUGGAUUUAAAGAGACUUCAUCGAACAAAAUGAACAUUUAUUGAGUAAAUGAAUGUCUUCUGAUUGCCACCAUAUGAAGAUCAUCUAAGGGAGCCUUGAGGCUGGCUUUUCAACUGGUCCUGCAGUCGCCCCGGGGGGCAAUGAGGAGCCCAGGCUCAGCUGGCCAUAGUCAACCUGCCUGCCUUUCACUGGAAACUCACUCUCCUCUCCAGUCCCCAGCCCAGGCAUGGGGAACCAGGCCUAACCACCAUCCCUCUGGAUCAUGCCUGAGAGGGCCCAUGCGUCAAUGGGCACAGAACCUUGGGCUCCAGCCAGCAGCGCCACCCUUUGGUCCCUGUUGUUAACUAACACUCUGACACCCUUCAUCUGGAUCCUGAGAGGAAGGAGGUAGAGAGAGGGGCAGGCUGUUACCGCCAUAGUCAUCACACAGCCUGCUGGGCUGAGUUUUGGGAAGCCACAGCAGCACGCCUUUAAACACAGGAUCUGAAGAUUUCUCCUCCAGCGAAGGCAAAGACGGCCACAUCAUCAUUCUGAGUGAGUCACAGCGGACAAUGAGUUUGUCUUCAGACCUGGCAUCCUAGGAAAGGCACAACCUACUCUAAAGACUUGUCAAUCAACCAAAUUGCGACAUGCUGUUCAUUAAAAGUUUAAGAAGUCAUCAACAUUGACAAACAACCUCAGAGUGCUGCCCUGCAAACUGUAAACACCAACUGUCCACCGCAACAAACCAUUUGACUUUUAAAUGUAAUCUAGCCCAUGCCCCAUUUAACCGCGAACACAGUUAUACGGCAAAUUAAAAAAUGUAUCCACCUGUGGGUUGUCUCUCAUAAAUAAACAUGUCCAAGAAAAGUGAUUACUGGGUUAUCAGCGCCCGUCCUGUGCCACAGUGCCAUCCCAGGUGAGGGAUGGAGGAGAUAGCUGUCAGGAACUCAACUAAUUUCCUCCCAUCGCAGACAUAGCCUGAGGACCUGAGGCCCCUGCCAUCCCCACUCUCUCCACCAUCUCUCCCCAGUCUCCCUUCUGCCUGUCCCCCACGCAGCUGCUCCUGCUGUUGUCAAGAGCUGCUAGUUGUGGGGCUCCUGGGAUUUUCACCAGAAUCUCUCGUUAAUCUUAAUCUCCCAUUCCUCUUUCCUGAAGCUGCGAACAGAAACCACAAUAACAUGCAGAGGAGCAUCCAAUGAAGGAGGAAGGAUAAGCCUGGAGUUUUUUUUCAUUAUUUGUUUUCUAAUGUUGUUUCUUUUACAAGUGAGAUACAGUAUACUGCUAGGUGAGGUAAUUCAGUUUAAGGAAGUUAAUAAACCACUAUUAGCCCACAAACCUUAUUUAUGGUCUGUAAUUGACUUCUUCAUAUCUAUGAAAUAUGUUUCUCCGUUCCUAAAAUAACACAUUCCAUUUGAAUGUCAUCUCUUUCACUGCCAUAGUAUUACAUAUUGACUCUGUAAAGAAAAGAAUGGACU